GACGAACGCUGGCGGCGUGCCUAAUACAUGCAAGUCGAACGCUUCUUUUUCCACCGGAGCUUGCUCCACCGGAAACAGAGGAGUGGCGAACGGGUGAGUAACACGUGGGUAACCUGCCCAUCAGAAGGGGAUAACACUUGGAAACAGGUGCUAAUACCGUAUAACAAUCGAAACCGCAUGGUUUUGAUUUGAAAGGCGCUUUCGGGUGUCGCUGAUGGAUGGACCCGCAGUGCAUUAGCUAGUUGGUGAGGUAACGGCUCACCAAGGCGACGAUGCAUGGCCGACCUGGGAGGGUGAUCGGCCACAUGGGUACUGAGACACGGCCCAAACUCCUACGGGAGGCAGAAGUAGGGAAUCGUCGGCAAUGGACGAAAGUCUGACCGAGCAACGCCGCGUGAGUGAAGAAGGUUUUCGGAUCGUAAAACUCUGUUGUUAGAGAAGAACAAGGAUGAGAGUAACUGUUCAUCCCUUGACGGUAUCUAACCAGAAAGCCACGGCUAACUACGUGCCAGCCGCCGCGGUAA
rnacentral:rRNA from 1 species